CGGCCGCGCUGGGCCACCGCACCGCCGCGCUGCACCGCCGCCUCGACGCCCUGCAAGCCGCCGCUGCGCGCCUGGACCACCGCCGAGUGAAAAUCCAAGCCGUCUUUUUGGAUAAUGCGGUGCCUGACUGUCAGCGUUGUCUAAGAGGGAAACAGCAGGCUCGUGGAGAGGACCUGGGCCAACGCAAAAAACCCAGCGUUUUGUUUGCUGGGCUGUUCUUUGUCUCUAGUUGAUUUUGAAAAGAAGAUGAAAAAGGAAGGCUCUUCAGGUUCCUUCAGACUCCAGCCGAAUACAGGUUCUCUCUCACGUGCUGUGAGUUGGAUAAAUUUCUCCUCCUUGUCCAGGCAGACAAAGAGGCUGUUUCGCAGUGAUGGAGAGCUCUCGGUGUGUGGGCAGCAGGUGGAAGUGGAUGACGAAAACUGGAUAUACAGAGCCCAGCCCAGAAAAGGUGACUCGAUU
rnacentral:sRNA from 1 species